CAGCCGCCGCGGUAAUACGGAGGAUCCAAGCGUUAUCCGGAAUCAUUGGGUUUAAAGGGUCCGUAGGCGGUCUUGUAAGUCAGUGGUGAAAGCCCAUCGCUCAACGGUGGAACGGCCAUUGAUACUGCAGGACUUGAAUUAUUGGGAAGUAACUAGAAUAUGUAGUGUAGCGGUGAAAUGCUUAGAGAUUACAUGGAAUACCAAUUGCGAAGGCAGGUUACUACCAAUUGAUUGACGCUGAUGGACGAAAGCGUGGGUAGCGAACAGGAUUAGAUACCCCCGUAGUCCCUGUCUCUUAUAU
rnacentral:rRNA from 1 species